rnacentral:tRNA from 1 species
GCUCCGGUGGCACAAUCGGUUAGCGCGCCGUACUUAUAGACAGUACCUUCACUGUGCAUAGCACAGUAUGAGGAAUGCGGAGGUUGUGAGUUCGAUCCUCACCCGGAGCA